GAUGAACGCUGGCGGUAUGCUUAACACAUGCAAGUCGAACGGACUCUUCGGAGUUAGUGGCGGACGGGUGAGUAACGCGUGAGAAUCUGGCUUUGGGUUCGGGACAACCACUGGAAACGGUGGCUAAUACCGGAUGUGCCGAGAGGUAAAAGAGAAAUUGCCUGAAGAUGAGCUCGCGUCUGAUUAGCUAGUUGGUGAGGUAAAGGCUCACCAAGGCAGCGAUCAGUAGCUGGUCUGAGAGGAUGACCAGCCACACUGGGACUGAGACACGGCCCAGACUCCUCCGGGGGGAAGCAGGGGGGAAUUUUCCGCAAGGGGCGAAGGCCUGACGGAGCAAUACCGCGGGAGGGAAGAAGGCUCUUGGGUUGAAAACCUCUUUUCUUAGGGAAGAACAAAAGGACGGUACCUAAGGAAUCAGCAUCGGCUAACUCCGUG
rnacentral:rRNA from 1 species